rnacentral:piRNA from 1 species
UGGGCCUGUUUCCACAACCUCAACACUGAC